AACGAACGCUGGCGGCAGGCCUAAUACAUGCAAGUCGAGCGGAUGAAAGGGGCUUGCUCCUGGAUUCAGCGGCGGACGGGUGAGUAAUACGCAGGAAUCUACCUAGUAGUGGGGGAUAACGUUUCGAAAGGGACGCUAAUACCGCAUACGUUCUGAGGAAGAAAGCAGGGGAUCGUAAGACCUUGCGCUAUUAGAUGAGCUUGCGUCCGAUUAGCUAGUUGGUGGGGUAAAGCCUACCAAGGCGACGAUCGGUAACUGGUCUGAGAGGAUGAUCAGUCACACUGGAACUGAGACACGGUCCAGACUCCUACGGGAGGCAGCAGUGGGGAAUAUUGGACAAUGGGGGCAACCCUGAUCCAGCCAUGCCGCGUGUGUGAAGAAGGCCUGGUUGUAAGGACACUUAAGUACGGGAGGAAGGGACC
rnacentral:rRNA from 1 species